GCCGGGCAUGGUGGUGCAUGCCUGUAGUCCCAGCUACUCGGGAGGCUAAGGCAGGAGGAUUGCUUGAGCCCAGGAGUUUGAGGUUGCUGUGGGCUAGGCUGACACCACGGCACUCUAGCCGAGGCAACAGAGUAAAAAAAAACCAUAUAUAUAUAUAUAACUCAGAGAAAAUAUAUAUGUAAAACUGUCAUGUAGCUCAAUAAUGUUUAGGCAUAAGACAUAAAAGAGUAGCUCUCUAGGCUGAUGCCACGGCACUCACUCUAGCCUGGGCAACAAAGUGAGACUCUGUCUCA
rnacentral:sRNA from 1 species